AUUGAACGCUGGCGGCAUGCCCUACACAUGCAAGUCAAACGGCAGCACGGGUGCUUGCACCUGGUGGCGAGUGGCGAACGGGUGAGUAAUACAUCGGAACGUACCUUAUCGUGGGGGAUAACGCAGCGAAAGCUGUGCUAAUACCGCAUACGCCCUGAGGGGGAAAGCGGGGGAUCGAAAGACCUCGCGCGAUUAGAGCGGCCGAUGCCUGAUUAGCUUGUUGGUGGGGUAAAAGCCCACCAAGGCGACGAUCAGUAGCUGGUCUGAGAGGACGAUCAGCCACACUGGGACUGAGACACGGCCCAGACUCCUACGGGAGACAGCAGUGGGGAAUUUUGGACAAUGGGGCAACCCUGAUCCAGCAAUGCCGCGUGAGUGAAGAAGGCCUUCGGGUUGUAAAGCUCUUUUGUCAGGGAAGAAACACCGGCUCUAACACAGUCCGGGAAUGACGGUACCUGAAGAAUAAGCACCGGCUAACUACGUGCCAGCAGCCGCCGUAA
rnacentral:rRNA from 1 species